GCCCCCGGUUCUGUCUGGCCCUGCCUUACCCACCCAUCCUCAUCCCACCCCAGCCUCUGCAGCCUAACAACCCCAUGACAAAUUAUCCCAUGGCGAAGUUAAAUUGGCUGCUGCAUCCAAUACCGUGGAUUAUAGAGAAAGGAAAAUACAUAGCUCAUUAACUCAAAUCCCAGCCCCUCCCCCAGGCCUUGUUUUUUCUUCAUCCCUCCUCUACUUAUCUCUGGAGAAGAGACCUGGCCACAGGACUGCCUCCUCUUCCUUCUAACGACUUCUUGGGAGAGGGAGGAACUUGAAGGUAGGGGACAUGGGCUUUCAGGACGCCAGGACCAGGCGGACUGCAGAGGAACUCCUGGGCCUUGGCUCGUGGGGAGGACAGAUCUGUGAUCCUGGAGGCCAGAGGGUUCCCUCUGACAUCUGUGACACCGUUAGACUUUUCCCAAGCGUGUGUCCCCGGAUCCUUCUAAUACCGCUGCGACGGAAGCAGGAUGGAUGGGGAAACUGAGACCCGCGAGAGAGGUCACCAGGAAUCAGGUUGUGACGAGUGGCCACACCUGCAGGGAAUUUGAGAUGGGCCUCCAAGGGAACCUUUUAGCUGUAAGGCCUGUUCCUCCUGGCCUUUGUUCCUGUCAGCAGGCAGAGAAUAGAGAAGAAACUCAGAGAUCCUUGAGACUAAGAAGCUGAACAGAGCCUGGCUGCCUGUUUAAAAUGGAGAGGAAGAAAACAGCAAGAGAGAACCCCAGCAUUUGGAUUGCAGUCUUCACCUCUUGCCUCAUGGGGAUCCACAUGGUGAAUGUAAACACAGUGCUGAGGCUUGUGUGGAGUCUUGAGUCCAUGACGCUGGAGACCCCAGGGUAGAAGGUAGACCACCAGAGCUCUCAUGCAUGGGAGUGGCUCAUAGCCAUCACCUUUGAAAUCUAUUGUCUCGAGACAUUGGCGAGCCUGGGCCUCAAGAGUCUUCUGGAGACACCUUCCUGCACUUAACACUGAUGUCACUGACGGGGGAGCUCUGGAAGAGUGCCAUGAACUUUCAAGGGUGAGCAAACAGAAUUGCCAGUGCUCAGCCUCAGAGAGGAAGGUGGAAUCAAGAAUGGCCAAAUGUUUGAGGAGAGCUGAUGUCAUAACGCAGGAGCAUCCAGAUGACGAGUGAGGGAAUUAGCUCUGAGAAGACAGAGGGAACAGCACAAGUAGAAAGGACUUUAAGGUAAGAAAAAUUAAUGUCCUCUAAAAGACGUGAAAGCAUACAUAUAUCAUUGUAUGGAUCCAUACAAUAAGAAUUAGUGGCUGGGUGUGGUGGCUCACACCUGUAAUUGCAGCACUUUGGGAGG
rnacentral:lncRNA from 1 species